CCUACGGGUGGCAGCAGUGGGGAAUCUUCCGCAAUGGGCGAAAGCCUGACGGAGCAACGCCGCGUGAGAGAAGGAAGGCCUGCGGGUUGUAAAGAUCUGUUGACAGGGACGAAGAAGCCAUGCGAAUAGUGUGGUGUAUGACGGUACCUGUUGAGAAAGCGCCGGCUAACUACGUGCCAGCAGCCGCGGUAAGACGUAGGGAGCAAGCGUUGGGCGGAAUUACUGGGCUUAAAGGGCGCGUAGGUGGGUGGUUACGUCCGGUGUGAAAACGCUGGGCUCAACCUGGCGACGGCACUUGAAACUGGGUAUCUUGAGCGCAGGAGAGGCAAGUGGAAUUCCUAGUGUAGCGGUGAAAUGCGUAGAUAUUAGGCAGAACACCAGUGGCGAAGGCGGCUUUCUGGACUGUACCUGACGCUGAGGCGCGAAAGCGUGGGUAGCGAACAGGAUUAGAUACCCUUGUAGUC
rnacentral:rRNA from 1 species